CCUACGGGAGGCAGCAGUGGGGAAUAUUGGUCAAUGGGCGCGAGCCUGAACCAGCCAAGUAGCGUGAAGGAUGAAUGCCCUACGGUUUGUAACCUUCUUUUAUAGAGGAAUAAAGUGAGGCGCGUGUGCCUUUUUGUAUGUACUUUAUGAAUAAGGAUCGGCUAACUCCGUGCCAGCAGCCGCGGUAGUACGGAGGAUCCGAGCGUUAUCCGGAUCUAUUGGGUUUAAGGGGAGCGUAGAUGGGUUGUUAAGUCAGUUGUGAAAGUUUGCGGCUCAACCGUAAAAUUGCAAUUGAUACUGGCAGUCUUGAGUACAGUUGAGGCAGGCGGAAUUCGUGGUGUAGCGGUGAAAUGCGUAGAUAUCACGAAGAACACCGAUUGCGAAGGCAGCUUACUAAACUGUAACUGACACUGAUGCUCGAAAGUGUGGGUAUCAAACAGGAUUAGAUACCCCAGUAGUC
rnacentral:rRNA from 1 species